CUGGGGAGAUGAUUUCAGGCCACAGUGCAGACCGCUUGUGCAAGGUCUGUUUACUUGGGCUUUGGCUUGGGAUCCAGAGUUUGGCCUCUUAAUGCCAAAACUGCAACUGACUGUAUCAUGCAAAAAAUAUCAUUACACCUUGACAGCAUCAAGAAAUUUUGGAAGAUGAUCCUGCAGUGAAACCUAGGCUAGACUGGAUGGAACUGUGUCUCCACCGAUGAACAAGGCAAGAAUGAGUGAAUUGGAUUGACGUGGAGGUGAUGGAGGAAGAGAAAUGGUCUACACGUCAAAAUGACAAUGUAUAUUACAUGGUUAACAGAAUGAGUGAGGUCAUGCCUGGUGCUGUGACUGUAGUGUUGAUCACAGACCUGAGAGCAGAGUGUGCUGUGGAAGUGAAGUUUAGCAGAUCUGGGAAAUCAAGCUUUGGUUG